CCUACGGGGGGCUGCAGUGGGGAAUAUUGGACAAUGGGGGGAACCCUGAUCCAGCCAUGCCGCGUGUGUGAAGAAUGCCCUCGGGUUGUAAAGCACUUUCAGUGAGGAAGAACGCCUGGUGGUUAAUACCCAUCAGGAAAGACAUCACUCACAGAAGAAGCACCGGCUAACUCCGUGCCAGCAGCCGCGGUAAUACGGAGGGUGCGAGCGUUAAUCGGAAUUACUGGGCGUAAAGCGCGCGUAGGUGGCUUGAUAAGCCGGUUGUGAAAGCCCCGGGCUCAACCUGGGAACGGCAUCCGGAACUGUCGAGCUAGAGUGCAGGAGAGGAAGGUAGAAUUCCCGGUGUAGCGGUGAAAUGCGUAGAGAUCGGGAGGAAUACCAGUGGCGAAGGCGGCCUUCUGGACUGACACUGACACUGAGGUGCGAAAGCGUGGGUAGCACACAGGAUUAGAUACCCCUGUAGUC
rnacentral:rRNA from 1 species